UACGUAGGGGGCAAGCGUUGUCCGGAUUUAUUGGGCGUAAAGAGCGUGUAGGCGGCUAGAUAGGUCCGUUGUGAAAACUCGAGGCUCAACCUCGAGACGUCGAUGGAAACCAUCUGGCUAGAGUCCGGAAGAGGAGAGUGGAAUUCCUGGUGUAGCGGUGAAAUGCGCAGAUAUCAGGAAGAACACCCGGUGGCGAAGGCGGGCUCUC
rnacentral:rRNA from 1 species